UGGGGAAUCUUGGGCAAUGGGGGAAACCCUGACCCAGCGACGCCGUGUGGGGGAUGAAGGCCUUCGGGUUGUAAACCCUGUUAGGUGGGACGAACGUCUUCCUGCGAAUAGUGGGAAGGCCUGACGGUACCACCAGAGAAAGCCCCGGCUAACUCCGUGCCAGCAGCCGCGGUAAUACGGAGGGGGCUAGUGUUGUUCGGAAUUACUGGGCGUAAAGGGCGCGUAGGCGGCUUGGCAAGUCGAGUGUGAAUCCCUUGGCUUAACUGAGGAAUGGCGCUCGAAACUACCUCGCUAGAGGGCGGGAGAGGGAAGUGGAACUCUCGGUGUAGGGGUGAAAUCUGUAGAUAUCGAGAGGAACACCGGUGGCGAAGGCGGCUUCCUGGCCCGUAACUGACGCUGAGGCGCGAAAGCGUGGGGAGCAAACAGGAUUAGAUACCCUGGUAGUCCACGCCCUAAACGAUGGGCACUAGGUGUGGGCGGUAUUAAUCCCGCUGUGCCGUAGCUAACGCAUUAAGUGCCCCGCCUGGGG
rnacentral:rRNA from 1 species